ACAAGAAAACUGCAACUGCAACUGCAACAGAACCAAUAUCUGAUACACCAACAUACAAAUAUAUAUAUAUAUAUACAUAUACGUGUACAUUUGUCGACGUGCACUCAUACAUAUGCGCAAGCAUAUAAACGCUAAGGAGGAACGCACGUGGAACGCGAAAAUUUGCAGUCAGAGCAUAGGUCACAGCCAGAGCGAUCAGAUAGCAGGCACUGAGUGAAGCCAACUCGAUUGUAUUGCUGCAGCUGCUGGUUCUGCAUAUGUGUGACCCGAGACCCGGUGACAAGCGCUGGACAUAAUCGUUCAAUGACAGCAGCCACAAUUGCUGCCACCGCCACCGCCACCGCCACCGCCACCUCAACUGCCUCUGACUCUGAUUCUGCUUCAGUCUCUGUCUCUGUCUCUGGCUCUGCCUUUGUCUCUGUCUCUGUCGCUGUCACUGUCUCUGCCGCAGCGCUGUCCGCUGCAAGCAACGCGAGCAGUUAACGCCCAACAGCAGCAGCAGGAAAAGGCUCGGCUUAAUCCGGUCCCCCAGCAGCGCGCCUUUAUGCAGUCAAGAGCUCAACGCUGUGACUGAGAACAGUCCAAUCAACGAUCAGGACUAUUUAUCGACGCUCAACCAGC